AACAGGAUUAGAUACCCUGGUAGUCCACGCCGUAAACGAUGUCGACUUGGAGGUUGUGCCCUUGAGGCGUGGCUUCCGGAGCUAACGCGUUAAGUCGACCGCCUGGGGAGUACGGCCGCAAGGUUAAAACUCAAAUGAAUUGACGGGGGCCCGCACAAGCGGUGGAGCAUGUGGUUUAAUUCGAUGCAACGCGAAGAACCUUACCUACUCUUGACAUCCAGAGAACUUAGCAGAGAUGCUUUGGUGCCUUCGGGAACUCUGAGACAGGUGCUGCAUGGCUGUCGUCAGCUCGUGUUGUGAAAUGUUGGGUUAAGUCCCGCAACGAGCGCAACCCUUAUCCUUUGUUGCCAGCGGUCCGGCCGGGAACUCAAAGGAGACUGCCAGUGAUAAACUGGAGGAAGGUGGGGAUGACGUCAAGUCAUCAUGGCCCUUACGAGUAGGGCUACACACGUGCUACAAUGGCGCAUACAAGGAGAAGCGACCUCGCGAGAGCAAGCGGACCUCAUAAAGUGCGUCGUAGUCCGGAUUGGAGUCUGCAACUCGACUCCAUGAAGUCGGAAUCGCUAGUAAUCGUGGAUCAGAAUGCCACGGUGAAUACGUUCCCGGGCCUUGUACACACCGCCCGUCACACCAUGGGAGUGGGUUGCAAAAGAAGUAGGUAGCUUAACCUUCGGGAGGGCGCUUACCACCUUGUGAUUCACGACUGGGGUGAAGUCGUAACAAGGUAACC
rnacentral:rRNA from 1 species